rnacentral:rRNA from 1 species
UUUUUUAAUUGAAAACUGGAAUGAAAGGUAGAGAUUUUAAAGGAGAGUUUUAUUUUAUGAAUUUGAAUUUUAAUUAAAGGUAAAAAUGCCUUUAUUAAUCUUAGGGACGAGAAGACCCUAAAAGCUUUAAAUUUAUAAAAAUUUUUAAUUGGGGCAAUUUAUGAAGAAAAGAUUUUUAUUAAUAGAAAUUUAAUAUAAAAGAAGUUACUUUAGGGAUAACAGCUUAAUCUAAUUAGGGAGUUCUUAUUUAUAAUUAGGAUUGUGACCUCGAUGUUGAAUUAAAAUAAAUAUUUGGUGAAGAAGCUAAUUUAUUUAGUCUGUUCGACUAUUAAAAUUUUACGUGAUCUGAGU